UGGGGAAUAUUGGACAAUGGGGGGAACCCUGAUCCAGCCAUGCCGCGUGUGUGAAGAAGGCCUUAUGGUUGUAAAGCACUUUAAGCGAGGAGGAGGGUACUGGUAUUAAUACUACCAGGUACUGGACGUUACUCGCAGAAUAAGCACCGGCUAACUCUGUGCCAGCAGCCGCGGUAAUACAGAGGGUGCGAGCGUUAAUCGGAUUUACUGGGCGUAAAGCGUGCGUAGGCGGCUAAUUGAGUCGGAUGUGAAAUCCCCGAGCUUAACUUGGGAAUUGCAUUCGAUACUGGUUAGCUAGAGUGUGGGGGAGGAUGGUAGAAUGCCAGGUGUAGCGGUGAAAUGCGUAGAGAUCUGGAGGAAUACCGAUGGCGAAGGCAGCCAUCUGGCCUAACACUGACGCUGAGGUACGAAAGCAUGGGGAGCAAACAGG
rnacentral:rRNA from 1 species